rnacentral:rRNA from 1 species
CCUACGGGAGGCAGCAGUGGGGGAUAUUGCACAAUGGGGGGAACCCUGAUGCAGCGACGCCGCGUGGGUGAAGAAGCGCCUCGGGUCGUAAAGCUCUGUUGCGGGGGAAAAAAGGCAGCAUCAGGAAAUGGGUGCUGACUGAUGGUGCCCCGCCAGAAAGUCACGGCUAACUACGUGCCAGCAGCCGCGGUAAUACGUAGGUGGCGAGCGUUAUCCGGAAUGAUUGGGCGUAAAGGGUGCGCAGGCGGUCCUGCAAGUCUGGAGUGAAACGCAUGAGCUCAACUCAUGCAUGGCUUUGGAAACUG